AUGAUUUCUAAGAGACCCUGGAAAGAAAUAUUGCUGCUAAUGAACUGAGGUGACAUAGGACAAUGCAGAGUUGAAGAGAGGAUAAUUUCUCCUUGUCUGCACAGAACGCAGCACACCUUCAGCCCUUCAAAGACGGGCAGCUUUGGCUGCACCCCUGGGCAGUUCCCUGGGUAUGCACAUUGAUGCAAUUAUAAUGUCCUCGCUAUGAGAUUUCCCACCACCCACGCUGGUGUUCACAUCUAGCGGCAUCACAGAGAGGUAGAACUAAAGGGAAGAAGUUGAUGGAUGCCAUCUGGUAUUGCAGAUGAUGACAGGUUUUCUCAGCUAUGAAGAGGAAAACUAACAGAUUCCUGAGUCAGCAACACAACCUGCUUGAGAAUGAGGACAACACAGAACAGAGCAUAACUGAGACAUGGGAAAAAUAGCUUUCAGAUCUAUAAAAAAGAAGAGGAAACAUACAUGGUUUAAGGAAUAAGCAGUAAAAAGUAAGAAAUCGGCUGAUCCUGGGAAGAACUGAAGACCACUUAAAAUUAAAUCUACAUGACUCUACAUCUGGGAUGCUGGAUUUCCUCACAGCCUUAGAGAGAAGUUGAGAACCAAACAAGUACUGCAGGAACAUAGAAUUAACAAGCAAAAAUCCAGAAGGCAGCAAAAACCAAGCAGUGUGGCCGAAUCAUUAGACCGGCGAGAGGUGAGAAGAAACAUACGAAAAAGGAAAAAAGAGGGGAAAAGACUGGAAACAUUAAUUGGGGUCAUAUUGAUAUCAUAUUGAGAAGUUUGAACAUUUUCCUAUAAACAUUGGUUCCCAAAUUAUUCAUAAAUUAGGAGCCCUUUUUUCCCAUCAGAAAUAAUUGUGAGCUUAGUGUGCUUAUAUUGCUCGGGCAGCAUCCUCCCCUUUGGGUAGCUAACCUUUCCACUUUCUAUUGGAAAAACCAAGCGACUUCAUUCCUCCCAUCCCUAAUUACCAACCCCAGUAUAUAUUCCAUGAUUAAAAAAGUAAACCAGACCCUUCUCUAGGCCUUUCCUUUUUUCUUUUCUUUUUUUUUUUUUUUCAAGCUGGAGCAGUAGUGAGGAAAAGUGCUCUCUUAAACUUGAAUUAGAAGCUAUAAGGACAAUGUAAGCUGGAACUCUUUGCAACCAUAUUUCCAACCAUAUAAAGAAAGCCUUCUACACUAGGCCAGUGAAGACUGAGAAGCAGAGCUCAAAUAA